UACGUAGGUGGCGAGCGUUAUCCGGAAUGAUUGGGCGUAAAGGGUGCGCAGGCGGAAGAUCAAGUCAGCGGUAAAAUUGAGAGGCUCAACCUCUUCGAGCCGUUGAAACUGGUUUUCUUGAGUGAACGAGAAGUAUGCGGAAUGCGUGGUGUAGCGGUGAAAUGCAUAGAUAUCACGCAGAACUCCGAUUGCGAAGGCAGCAUACCGGCGCCCAACUGACGCUGAAGCACGAAAGCGUGGGUAUCGAACAGG
rnacentral:rRNA from 1 species